rnacentral:lncRNA from 1 species
UGAAAAUUUUGAUGCUAGGGUAAAAGUACCACUAAGGCUCUUAUAUUAGGGUAAAAGUACCACUAAGGCUCUUAUAUUAAGAGUGGUUUACAUUUUGUCCCUUUACUUAAAAUAUAAGUAAAUUUAUCUUUAUAUGUUUGGUUAAAAUAUAAAUUGAUCAUUCUAUAAAAAAUUUUAAAGACUAGUUUUUAACAAUAAAAAAGGAUGAAUGACUAAUUUACUUUUUAAUUUAACAUAUAUACAACGAUUAAUUUAUCAUUUUAUUUUAAUAAAGAGAACAAAAUAUAAUUCGACUUAGGAGUUUCUAUAGUAAUUUUACUGGCUUUCUUGAAUUUUAGGACUAACCUGUUAAUAUUUUUCCAAGGAUCCAUGUGAAAAGAAUUAUAUUGAAAUAGAAAUAACUGGUAAUAAUGAAAUUGUUUGAUGGGAAGAUUGAAAACAUUCUUUAGCAGAUGAGGACAUGAGUGGAAGGACUUAAUUAACAAAUGAUGAU